AGAGAGGUCCUCCUGGUGAGCAGGGGCCUCCAGGGCCUCCUGGGCCUCCUGGAGUUCCGGGCAUAGAUGGCAUUGAUGGUGACCGAGGUCCAAAGGGUCCCGUGGGCCCUCCGGGUCCUCCUGGAGACCCGGGCAAGCCAGGAGCGCCAGGCAAGCCAGGCACACCAGGCGCUGAUG